UCUCCGUAGGUGAACCUGCGGAGGGAUCAUUACUGAGUGAGGGUUUAACCGCCCGACCUCCAACCCUUUGUGAAUCGUACUCGUUGCUUCGGGGGCGACCCUGCCGUCCGCGGCUGAGCGCCCCCGGAGGUCAUCAAAACCCUGCAUCUCUGCGUCGGUGUCAUAAGUUAAUCAAACAAAACUUUCAACAACGGAUCUCUUGGUUCUGGCAUCGAUGAAGAACGCAGC
rnacentral:misc_RNA from 1 species